GGGGGCUUGGCGGCCAGCCUUACACAUGCAGUCGAGCGGUAGCACAGGGGAGCUUGCUCCCCGGGUGACGAGCGGCGGACGGGUGAGUAAUGUCUGGGAAACUGCCUGAUGGAGGGGGAUAACUACUGGAAACGGUAGCUAAUACCGCAUAACGUCGCAAGACCAAAGAGGGGGACCUUCGGGCCUCUUGCCAUCAGAUGUGCCCAGAUGGGAUUAGCUAGUAGGUGGGGUAAUGGCUCACCUAGGCGACGAUCCCUAGCUGGUCUGAGAGGAUGACCAGCCACACUGGAACUGAGACACGGUCCAGACUCCUACGGGAGGCAGCAGUGGGGAAUAUUGCACAAUGGGCGCAAGCCUGAUGCAGCCAUGCCGCGUGUGUGAAGAAGGCCUUCGGGUUGUAAAGCACUUUCAGCGAGGAGGAAGGUGGUGAGCUUAAUACGCUCAUCAAUUGACGUUACUCGCAGAAGAAGCACCGGCUAACUCCGUGCCAGCAGCCGCGGUAAUACGGAGGGUGCAAGCGUUAAUCGGAAUUACUGGGCGUAAAGCGCACGCAGGCGGUUUGUUAAGUCAGAUGUGAAAUCCCCGGGCUCAACCUGGGAACUGCAUUUGAAACUGGCAAGCUAGAGUCUCGUAGAGGGGGGUAGAAUUCCAGGUGUAGCGGUGAAAUGCGUAGAGAUCUGGAGGAAUACCGGUGGCGAAGGCGGCCCCCUGGACGAAGACUGACGCUCAGGUGCGAAAGCGUGGGGAGCAAAACAGGAUUAAGAUACCCUGGUAGUCCACGCUGUAAACGAUGUCGAUUUGGAGGUUGUGCCCUUGAGGCGUGGCCUUCCCGGAGGCUAACGCGUUAAAAUCGACCGCCCUGGGGGAGUACGGCCGCAAGGGUUAAAACUCAAUGAAUUGACCGGGGGCCCCCCACAA
rnacentral:rRNA from 1 species